UACGUAGGGUGCAAGCGUUGUCCGGAAUUAUUGGGCGUAAAGGGCUCGUAGGCGGUCCGUCACGUCGGGAGUGAAAUCCUGGGGCUUAACCCCAGAGCUGCUUCCGAUACGGGCAGACUAGAGGUAGGUAGGGGAGAAUGGAAUUCCUGGUGUAGCGGUGGAAUGCGCAGAUAUCAGGAGGAACACCAGUGGCGAAGGCGGUUCUCUGGGCCUUACUUGACGCUGAGGAGCGAAAGCGUGGGGAGCAAACAGG
rnacentral:rRNA from 1 species